rnacentral:lncRNA from 1 species
GGAGCAGGUGAGACGCUAGGGGCCGUCCGGGGCGGGAAGGGAUCUCUCUCUCCUGCCCCGGUAAGACGACGCAACAGCAGGGUCGCUCGACCCAGUGACAGCUCCACUUGCGCUCCCUGGCACUCUCGGUGAGGAGGAGGGGGCGGGUAGAAAGGAGGCAGGGUAGUAGGAAGAGGCCUUUAGGGGUGGGGAGCGACCGUUUUAAAAGCCCACAUUUUAAAAAAGGUGGUUUUCUGUCUUGCCUUUUUUCCAGGCCGGUCUCCCAGCACCCUCCUUCCCUCCACAGUAUUGGGAAUUGAACCCAGGGGCUCCUCACCACUAAGCUACAUCCCCAGGUUUUAAUUUUAAGACAGGGUCUAAAUUGCCCAGGAUGACCUUGAACUUGCUAUCUUCCUGCCUCAGCCUCCUGACUAGCUUGGUGUUAGAGGUUUGUGCCACCGCCCCUGCUCCCACCCCCUUAAACAUCACUGGAAUAAAAACAGUACAAACUGUAAAAUGCACCUGUUUUAAGUGUGCAAUUUGCUGAGUUCUGACAUGUAAAUACCCUUGUAACCACCUCCACAAUCAAGAUACAAAACAUUUCACCACCCUUGGAGAGUCUCUUGGAGCCCUUUCCCCCAUCCACUCUAAAAUAUGACCAGAAGGGUAAAGAGGCUGCCUGCCAUUCAGAAGAGUAAUCUGACAAAAGUCUGUUUCCAGUCCAAAGCUGUGCAGCAGUGACCUUGCCCUGCCAUGCCUUUUUUGGGCCCUUUUUUUGAGAAACCAUAACACUGUAAAUGCCCAAGGAGCAAUUAUGAAGUCCUUUACUGCAGCCCUGUCUGGAGCAGUAAGAAACAAACUGGCAACAAUGGUAAUAUAUAAAUAUGGAGAGCUUAAAUAAACUUUCUUUAUUAUGGAAUACCUCUCAUAGCAGCAGUCAAAAAAGGAGAUGGAACUAUGGGUGUGGCAUGGUAAGAUCUCCAAAUAUUGGGCUCAGUUGAAAGACAAUCAAGAUUACAGCACAGUAUAGUACCAUCUGUGUUAAAAACACGUCUACAAAAGAAAACCAUAUAUUUUUCACAGAGAUAUAUUUGUAGGUAAAUAGUAUUGAAUACUGUCUGGAAGAAUCCACAGCAAAUCUUUUUCUAUUCCCUGUGGAUGGAGGGAGGGACCUGGAAUAAAGAGAUUAAAGCUAGUGGACAUAGGGGAUUUAUGGCUACAUUAAAAAAAAAUGUUUACAGGGCUGGGUUUGGUGGUUCACACCUGUAAUCUCAGUGGCUCAGGAGGCAGGAGAAUCAUGAGUUCAAAGCCAGCCUCAGCAAUUUAGUGAGGCCCUAAGCAGCUUAGCAAGACCCAGUCUCAAAUAAAAAAUAAAAAGGGCUGGGGAUGUAACAUGUAGCGCAAUGGUUAAGCACCCCUGGAUUCAAUCCCCAGUACCAAAAAAAAAAAAAAAAAGUUUACAAGAAAAAUGUACUCAUGUAUCACUUAGCAAAUUAAAAAUUAAUUUAAAAAUAUUAAAGUUAUUAUCGCCAAAGUUAUUUUAUAGGCUAUACUGUUGACUCUUUUCUUCCUUCAUAUGAAAGUCAUGGCUACAUCAGGUGUUGGUUUGGGGAGACAGUGACUCUUGUUUUUACUUCUUGGGUGUGGGAUAGGUACUGGGAAUGGAGACAUACAUCCCUAUUUCAUGUUCUUUGAGUCCAACAGAGGAUGGAGCUCAGCACUUUCUACUUCCCAGGCAGGAAACCUCACAAUACAUAGCUCUUUGAUUCCAAGUAUCAAAUCCAUGCCCAGGCACUAAAUCCACCCACUGCCUUGCCGUGCUUCCCACAAACUGCCUUUGGAAGCAGGAAGAAUCUGAACCAAUUAGCAGUCUGCUAUUGCCACACAUGUAAAGGGGGCUCCUGAAUGAAUGGGUGUCAACUGAGACUGAAGAGAGUGCCUGAGGUUUUUUCCCCCCUUGAAUGCACAAGAUAAAGGGAGGAAAGUGGCUAAAGAAGAUGUGCAGUGAGAAUGAACACCUCAGAACCAAUGGGAAUUCCUGUUGAUACUCCAGAACAUAGCCUAAUCCUUUUAGCCUGAGCUGUGCUGAGGGUAAGCUCACACAAGUGCACCUCCAUCCCAUCCCACACACUUUACCAAGAAUUGAGCAUCAUGCAGGAGAUGGGGAACAGAACAGGAAGACCAUCUUCAAGGACACCCAACCAAAGCACCCUCUGAUUAACUGUGCAGCCAAAGCCAGGCUGGGAGGCAGUGACAUGCCUCACUCAGGGCUUGUCUGGUCACUCAGGAUCUGAGCAAAAGUACCCAGAGCCACUCCUUAUUCUCCUCCUUUCCCUGCUCUUGGCCUCACAGACCUACCAUCUCAACUAGAAGACUCUGGCCUUUAACAACUGAUUCCUGGUAGAGGUUGCUGGGCCUUGUUCUCCAGCUAGCAAAUGUACUUAAAGCACUUAGUGAAGAAAAUAAUUAUCCUGGUAAAGUCUCAUAAUCCUGAAACUGGGCUACUCACUGUGGUGAUCCUCAGGACUGAGCAGAGAAUGUGGCAAGCCAUUAGUCCAGAAUAAUCAUAGAUUGACCCAAGAAAUGGUGGAGAGAGGGGCUUUAACAUCAAGUUUAAAACAAUUAUUGCCACAAAAAAAAUUUUCAUGCUGAUUGCAAGAAAGCUGCCAAACACAUUUUUGGGGUGGUGGUGGGACUCCUCCAGAGAUAAUGGAAUUGAUCUCAGCAGCACAAAACAAAACAAAACAAGACAUUGUAGGACUGGGAUAUAGCUCAGUGGCAAAGCACUUGCCUUGAACACACUAAGCUCUGGACUCCAUCCCUAGUUCCAUAAAAAAAGAUACCCCCCCAAAAAAAAUGGAACCAUGAAAACCAGUGAAUAUAUACAGUGACCCAAUAUAUGUACACCAAACUUAUGUCUUUUCCCCUGUGCAUCUAGGCAGGGAGACUGCUAAUGGCCCAUAAUAAUUUAAAUAGUGCUACAAAAAGGCAUAAGUUUCAAAAUGAAUAUGAAAGGAAAGAAGGGGAUCUGGAGUCCCCUUGGGUGGUCUGAUUCUUCCCAGCUUCUCAAAGCCUGAAUACCUCAUCCCUAAAUAGGAUUCUGGUGUUUAAGGACAUACAUUUUGGUACAAUAGAGCCUAUAAACCCAAACAGGCAAUUUGGAUCCACACAAGCCCUGUAUGUGAUCCUUGAGACAUUUAAAGAAUUUUAAGGGUACUUUUGACCCUAUGUGAUUUUUACCUUGUGCCCAGACCUCUACCCUGUGGGAUGUACUGCUCCACUAUUAGCUGAUUUGGGGUUUGGGCAAUCUGCCUUGGACUCCAACCAGGGAUGUNACAGUACAAACUGUAAAAUGCACCUGUUUUAAGUGUGCAAUUUGCUGAGUUCUGACAUGUAAAUACCCUUGUAACCACCUCCACAAUCAAGAUACAAAACAUUUCACCACCCUUGGAGAGUCUCUUGGAGCCCUUUCCCCCAUCCACUCUAAAAUAUGACCAGAAGGGUAAAGAGGCUGCCUGCCAUUCAGAAGAGUAAUCUGACAAAAGUCUGUUUCCAGUCCAAAGCUGUGCAGCAGUGACCUUGCCCUGCCAUGCCUUUUUUGGGCCCUUUUUUUGAGAAACCAUAACACUGUAAAUGCCCAAGGAGCAAUUAUGAAGUCCUUUACUGCAGCCCUGUCUGGAGCAGUAAGAAACAAACUGGCAACAAUGGUAAUAUAUAAAUAUGGAGAGCUUAAAUAAACUUUCUUUAUUAUGGAAUACCUCUCAUAGCAGCAGUCAAAAAAGGAGAUGGAACUAUGGGUGUGGCAUGGUAAGAUCUCCAAAUAUUGGGCUCAGUUGAAAGACAAUCAAGAUUACAGCACAGUAUAGUACCAUCUGUGUUAAAAACACGUCUACAAAAGAAAACCAUAUAUUUUUCACAGAGAUAUAUUUGUAGGUAAAUAGUAUUGAAUACUGUCUGGAAGAAUCCACAGCAAAUCUUUUUCUAUUCCCUGUGGAUGGAGGGAGGGACCUGGAAUAAAGAGAUUAAAGCUAGUGGACAUAGGGGAUUUAUGGCUACAUUAAAAAAAAAUGUUUACAGGGCUGGGUUUGGUGGUUCACACCUGUAAUCUCAGUGGCUCAGGAGGCAGGAGAAUCAUGAGUUCAAAGCCAGCCUCAGCAAUUUAGUGAGGCCCUAAGCAGCUUAGCAAGACCCAGUCUCAAAUAAAAAAUAAAAAGGGCUGGGGAUGUAACAUGUAGCGCAAUGGUUAAGCACCCCUGGAUUCAAUCCCCAGUACCAAAAAAAAAAAAAAGUUUACAAGAAAAAUGUACUCAUGUAUCACUUAGCAAAUUAAAAAUUAAUUUAAAAAUAUUAAAGUUAUUAUCGCCAAAGUUAUUUUAUAGGCUAUACUGUUGACUCUUUUCUUCCUUCAUAUGAAAGUCAUGGCUACAUCAGGUGUUGGUUUGGGGAGACAGUGACUCUUGUUUUUACUUCUUGGGUGUGGGAUAGGUACUGGGAAUGGAGACAUACAUCCCUAUUUCAUGUUCUUUGAGUCCAACAGAGGAUGGAGCUCAGCACUUUCUACUUCCCAGGCAGGAAACCUCACAAUACAUAGCUCUUUGAUUCCAAGUAUCAAAUCCAUGCCCAGGCACUAAAUCCACCCACUGCCUUGCCGUGCUUCCCACAAACUGCCUUUGGAAGCAGGAAGAAUCUGAACCAAUUAGCAGUCUGCUAUUGCCACACAUGUAAAGGGGGCUCCUGAAUGAAUGGGUGUCAACUGAGACUGAAGAGAGUGCCUGAGGUUUUUUCCCCCCUUGAAUGCACAAGAUAAAGGGAGGAAAGUGGCUAAAGAAGAUGUGCAGUGAGAAUGAACACCUCAGAACCAAUGGGAAUUCCUGUUGAUACUCCAGAACAUAGCCUAAUCCUUUUAGCCUGAGCUGUGCUGAGGGUAAGCUCACACAAGUGCACCUCCAUCCCAUCCCACACACUUUACCAAGAAUUGAGCAUCAUGCAGGAGAUGGGGAACAGAACAGGAAGACCAUCUUCAAGGACACCCAACCAAAGCACCCUCUGAUUAACUGUGCAGCCAAAGCCAGGCUGGGAGGCAGUGACAUGCCUCACUCAGGGCUUGUCUGGUCACUCAGGAUCUGAGCAAAAGUACCCAGAGCCACUCCUUAUUCUCCUCCUUUCCCUGCUCUUGGCCUCACAGACCUACCAUCUCAACUAGAAGACUCUGGCCUUUAACAACUGAUUCCUGGUAGAGGUUGCUGGGCCUUGUUCUCCAGCUAGCAAAUGUACUUAAAGCACUUAGUGAAGAAAAUAAUUAUCCUGGUAAAGUCUCAUAAUCCUGAAACUGGGCUACUCACUGUGGUGAUCCUCAGGACUGAGCAGAGAAUGUGGCAAGCCAUUAGUCCAGAAUAAUCAUAGAUUGACCCAAGAAAUGGUGGAGAGAGGGGCUUUAACAUCAAGUUUAAAACAAUUAUUGCCACAAAAAAAAUUUUCAUACUGAUUGCAAGAAAGCUGCCAAACACAUUUUUGGGGUGGUGGUGGGACUCCUCCAGAGAUAAUGGAAUUGAUCUCAGCAGCACAAAACAAAACAAAACAAGACAUUGUAGGACUGGGAUAUAGCUCAGUGGCAAAGCACUUGCCUUGAACACACUAAGCUCUGGACUCCAUCCCUAGUUCCAUAAAAAAAGAUACCCCCCCAAAAAAAAUGGAACCAUGAAAACCAGUGAAUAUAUACAGUGACCCAAUAUAUGUACACCAAACUUAUGUCUUUUCCCCUGUGCAUCUAGGCAGGGAGACUGCUAAUGGCCCAUAAUAAUUUAAAUAGUGCUACAAAAAGGCAUAAGUUUCAAAAUGAAUAUGAAAGGAAAGAAGGGGAUCUGGAGUCCCCUUGGGUGGUCUGAUUCUUCCCAGCUUCUCAAAGCCUGAAUACCUCAUCCCUAAAUAGGAUUCUGGUGUUUAAGGACAUACAUUUUGGUACAAUAGAGCCUAUAAACCCAAACAGGCAAUUUGGAUCCACACAAGCCCUGUAUGUGAUCCUUGAGACAUUUAAAGAAUUUUAAGGGUACUUUUGACCCUAUGUGAUUUUUACCUUGUGCCCAGACCUCUACCCUGUGGGAUGUACUGCUCCACUAUUAGCUGAUUUGGGGUUUGGGCAAUCUGCCUUGGACUCCAACCAGGGAUGUGCAUAACCAAAGACUGUCAGAAAACAGGCUGCCCUAUAGAAGGAAUCCCAGGCACAUGCCCAAGGUUAGUGUCACAGUUGAGAGAAGCUGGUCCAGCCUAUUGUGCCACCCAGCCAAGCAGCCCCAGCAGCUCAGGGUUCCCUAUCCUGCUUGUGUCUGUAUGUGUUUACAGGCCUAGGAACAACACUGCCCUAACAGGCAGCUUCACUGAAAGCAACAGCACAAAGUGCCUUUCAGAACUUGCCUUCGGCGCAACCAGUUAUAAUCUUAUAAAAUGCUUCACAGCCAGGCAGUGUUCCUUAGGAGCCAGAAGCCUGGAGACUGGAAUAAAGAAGGUUGUUCUGCAUUUGCAGGAGUGGUGCCAAGCACAGGGCCAUGGGCUUGCCAGUUCCAGGUGGGGGUCAUUUGUGCUGCUAGUGGAGUGGUAGGCCUCCUCACACAAGCCCACUGCUUGGGAUUAGCUCCUUUUUGAUUAGCAGAUGAGCAGGCAUGGCAAGGAGACCAUCUACUGAUUCCUCAAAGCCAAGCACUGUGACCGUGAGCAGAACAGGCCCAGUAUGAGGCUAAAACUUCAGAAGCUAAAGUGGCCCUGAUAAUCUCAGCCAGCAGAACGGUGCUCUGCCCUAUCAGUGUUAUUUUUAUUUAAUAUCAGGGCAGGGGGGCUCCUUUUUUUCUUAAAGUCUGUUUUCUCAUUCAUUCACCAAAUAUAUACCAAGUACUUACUACCAGUCAGAUGUUUAGUUUGCUAUCUUUCUCCCAUCCUCUUCUCACCAUUCCUGAACCUCCAUGCCAGGCAGGUAUUGUGGUUGAUGCUUUUUGUUUUUGUUAUUUGGUACUGGGGAUUGAACUCAGGGGUACUCAACCACUGAGCCACAUCCCCAGCCCUAUUUUGUAUUUUGUUUAGAGAUAGGGUCUCACUGAGUUGCUUAGCGCCUCACCAUUGCUGAGGCUGGCUUUGAACUUGUGAUUCUCCUCAGAGUCCUGAGCCGCUGGGAUUAUAGGUGUGCACCACUGUGCCUGGUAGACAGAUGUUUAAAACAUACCUGCUCAAGGAAUAUUGUCCAUUUUAAAACAUGGCCUUUCAGCUGUAACCUCUGCAGUGAGGUGUGUGUUUGCAGAAGUUCAAGUGACAUUAGCAGAUCCCCAAGGCCCAGCUUUCAAACAUGUAUACCUCCAUUUGCUUCCCUGGCAUCUGAAGUCAUCUCUUCUUCCUGUUAAUUUGGCGUAGGCAUGUAGGUACAGGUUGGGCACAUAUGUGUUUCAACCCCUCUCCCCUUCACUUCCAUUUGGGUAACAUUCCUAGUUAAUGAUCAAGCUCCCUCUUCCCUCUGCAACUUCAGUCUUGAUGAGGAGGGGUCAAAAAGCCUGAAGUUAUUUUGGCAGGAAUUUGGAGAGAUCAGGACUAUGACUUACUAUUAGGUAAACGUGGCACAAAUGGUGUACUGAUAAUAUCCAAAUCACAUACUAUUAUAACACUUUCCCUGCCUGAGGAUGUGACCACUGGCUUCAGGUUAGAGUUAUGAAAAUAUUUUAUUGGAUACUCUACAACUAGAAGAUUUAAUUCUUGCAUUUUUUUUAAAAGCUCAUUUUCUGAAACAAGUCUUAAAAAACCAGUUAUGGGAUAAAAUCUUUCUCUUCCACUAGAUUAACCUAAUUCUUUGGAUUAUUAGUUGCAAUGCCAAAAUAAAAAGUUAUAAAAAAAUUAGAUAUAAAAAUUAUAUUGUCGGUGAUCAGGUACAUUUUCUACCCUCUUGUUCAUUACAGCAUGGAUUCUCAACAAGGGGUGACUUUGUUCUUCAGGGUACAUUUGGCAAUAUCUGGAUAUGUGUGUGUAUGUAUGUGUAUAUAAUUUUUUGUUUUAUUUUAUUUUUUUUGGUAGUACCGGGGAUUAAACCCAGGGCCUCAUGCAUGCUAGGCAGGCACUCUGAGCUAUAUCUUUAUACCACUGAGCUAUAUCUUUAGCUCCUAUUAAUAUCUGGAUACAUUUUUUAUUGUCACUGGAAGGCACCAGGGGACCACUGCAUCUACUGGGUACAGGCCAGGGAUGCAAGUAGACAUAACACACAGGACAGUCUCCCACCACACUCAGGUCCAAAAUUCCAACAAUGCCACUUGAGAAACUUCAUUAGAGAGAGUAGAACUGAAAAAUGGCAUUGGAGCCAAGAGAAUCUGUUGGUUUUUGACUUCAAGAAUCUUUUUUAUUUCAGACCUUGAUCAUUUAUUAGUGUCAUAUGAUAGUUUAGGCUAAAUAGAGCAAAGAAAUGCUGGAGUGCUAAGAAGCCCCAGACCACAGUCAUACCUCAAAAUCUUCCCUGAUGCCCAAGCCUGACCCUUAACCAAAUAACAGAUCCCAUAAAACACAAACAGGACAAGAAAACAAAAAGGAAAGUAGGAACAAGAGGGUGAGGGAACAGAAUUUUUCUUAAACUGCUUCAAAUACAAAAACACAACUUCAAAAGACCAGUGAGACUUAGUUUCAAUGAGAUAUAAUUAAGGGUAACCAGGGGAGGGCAAAGAAAAUUUUCUAAUUUUGUUCUUUCCCAUGAUACCCAUAUUCUACUGUUUUUCUGCUAUCAUAUUUUACAGUUUAGGGGGCAGAAAUGCAAACCCAGUAAUUAAGUAAGAACCCCAAAGAGUUUAAUUGUCUUCUUAAAACUAUUUCUGUCUUCAUAACAGGUGUGAUCAAAAACCAGUUUUACAAUAAGAAUCUUGAACUUUUCCAAUUUGAAUGGAUGACUACCAAGUAGGCUUAAUUUACUCAUAGAAAAAAGCCAGUCAGGACCCCUAAAGCUCAGGAAAUAAGACCAAGAGUUAAUAAAUGGGAUGGCAUCAAAUAUAAAAAGCUAUUGCACAGCAAAGAAAACAAUUAGGAAUGUGAAGAGAGAACCAAUAGAAUGGGAGAGAAAUAUUUGUUAGCUACUCUUCUGACAGAGGAUUCAUAUAUAGAAUAUACAAAGAAUUCACAAAACUUAACACCAAAAAAAUCAAAUAAUCCAAUUAAUAAAUGGGAAAGUGAAGUAAACAGUCACUUCUCAAAAUAAAAAAUACAAAGGGCCAACAAACAUGAAAAAGUGUCCAAUAUCAAUAGCAAUUAGGGAAAUGCCAAUCAAAACUACACUGAGAUUUCAUCUCACACCAGUCAGAAUGGCAGUCAUCAAGAAUACAAAUAAUAGGGCUGGGCUCAGUGGUACAGCAUUUGCCUAGCGUGUGUGAGGCACUGGGUUUGAGCCUCAGUACCACACAAAAAUAAAUAUAGAUAUUUGUGUCUAUCUACAAUUAAAAAAAGGAAAGAAAAAGCAGGCUUUUAAAAAAAUAACAAUAAAUACUGAAAGUAUGUAGAGAGAAAGGAACACUUUUCCACUGUUGGUAGGAUUUUAAAUUAGUACAAUCACUAUGGAAAUAAAUAUGGAGCUUCCUCAAAAGAGGAAGCUAUACCACUCCUUAGUAUUUAUCCUAAAGAAUUAAAGCCAUACUAUAAUGAUACAUGCAUACCCAUGUUUAUAGUAGCACAACUCAUAAUAACCAAACUAUAGAACCAGCCUUGAUGUCCAUCAAUGGGUGAAUGGAUAAAGAAAAUGUGGUAUAUACACAUGAUGGAAUUUUAUUCAGCUAUAAAGAAAAAUGAAAUUAUGUCAUUUGCAGGAAAAUGGAUGAAACUAGAGACCAUCAUCUUAACUGAAAUAAGCCAAAAUCAGAAGAUCAAUGUUCAAAUGUUUUCUCUCAUAUGUGGAAACUAGAGAGGAAAAAGGAAAAGAAAGGUUGAGGGAUGGGAUCUCAUGAAAAUCAAAGGGAGAUCACUAGGGGAAAGAGACCAUGGGGUAGGAUCUGGGGAGGGAGGGGUAAGUGCUGGGGUGUGAUACUGGCCAAAUUAUAUUGCUAUAUUGUACACACAUACAAAUACAUAACGAAAAAUUGCAUCAUUAUGUACAACUAAAAUGCACCAAUAAAAAAUGUGGAAAAAGAAAAAAGAAAUAAGCUAGCCCUUAGAAUAGUUUCUGUAUAGCACUAGUGAGGCUUUAACCUUAUGGAGAGUCUCCAUUUGUUUGCAAGUGUUUCCUACUUUCGGCUAAGAAUUCAACAACUUUGCUAUUUUCCAGGAUUUUAAAAAAAUUCUUCUCAGACUAUAGCUAAUUCAUGCAUUUAUGUGGGCUUUUUAUGUACUAGGCAUUACAUGGAAAAAUUAGAACCUAAAAUGUUCCUUCUCAUAAAUGCUGUCACCAUGGAUCUUCAGGCCAGAGGUACCCAGGGGAAAUUAAGUCUAGUGGUUGUAGCAUCAAAAUCUAGAAUGUGCAUAGGGAGCUCUUUAUCUUAUUUGUUCCUCCAAACCAGUAUGUGCUGAGGAACCAUGGUGUGCCAGACCACAUGCUGUAAACAUGGGUACGUGAAAAAUAAAUAACCAAGUCCAUACUCUGAGUAAACUGCCAACUAAGCCACAUACCUGGAGAUGUGUUCUGGCAUUUGGGCCUAGAUUUACAAUCUGGAGUCCACAGCUCCAAUUAAAAACAUGCUUAUCUUCAUAACCAGGGGGCAUAGCUGAAUUUAAGUCUUUAAAAAAUUAGCAGUAGAGAAUGAAAGGAGGGCAGUUGGCUUGAGAUAUUUACCUGAAAAAAAAGUCCUAGGGCCUAGGGUGAGGUGGAGGGUGUUGGUGUAGAGGACCUUAAUUACAGAACAGUCAAACCAGCAGAAACAGACCUGGGGACUCCUGGCAAGUGUGUGUCUUAGCUGGUGGGAGCAGAAGUCGGCUGCUGUGUGCUUCUGAGCAGCAGCCCAUCAGCUAAAGUGCUCUGGCUCUGUGAGACUCAGGUGUGUUUUACAGAGGGGCAGAGCAGGUGGGCUAAUCCAGAGCUUUGGUUUAGUGGGAGUUGAGUUAAAAGAGCUUUUCUUUGUUUGAUGUUUUCCCCCAUCUUCCAUCUAAAACCAAGCCCAGCAUACAGGGUUCUCUCAGGGGUCCACAAUUCUCUCCGAAUCAAAAGAAUUUGCAAGAGAAGGCUAAACAGAAGCACCAGUGGCUGGCUGGCUUCCCAACUCUGAUGACUACACUAUCAUUGGUUCUUCAAUUCUGGUGCAACAAGCACAACCACCCAAUGGCUUUGUCUGCUAAUUCCUUUCAUCCAAGGUUGCUGGUGACCCCCAGGCAAGGGCAACCCUUGCUUUGAAUCUCCACUGUGCCAAGUACUUCUCUUUCACCAAUCUCACCCCACCCUUAUCAGUUGAUUUGUCUGCUUCCACUCAUAGCCUGACUGCAAGCUACCAGGGGAAAUGGACCUUACCUUAUUCAACUUUCUUAUCACAUAAUUAUUUGUUGAAACAAAUAUUAAAUUGAAAUGUAGAGACUGGGGUUGUAGCUCACUGGUACAGUGCUUGCUUAGCAUGUGUAAGGCACUGGGUUCGACCCUCAGCACCACAUAAAAGUAAAUAAAUAAAAUAAAGGUACUGCAUCCAUCUACAACUAAAAAAAUAUUUAAAAAAUUGAAAUGGAGUAAAUCAGAGAAUAUAUUAUAGAGGACACAAAUCUGCAGAAGACUUUUUUACAAGAAGGAACAUAGCAUACUUGAAGUUUCCAAGAUGGGAUCAAGAAGUCAUAAGUGAGCUGUCAUAAAUUUUGAAAGGUAGACAGGUAUCCUUAACUGUUAGCAUUUAGAAGGAUCCAAAACUCACAAAAAACACUUUGAGAGAAAUCCUGCAGUAUAAGGCUGUGAGGGCCCUCUCUGAUAUCAUGAGAGCUUUCAGUCCCCCAGCCUUCUACACAAACCCAGCAAUUGAUGCUCAUUCCUGAACAAGGGGGACUUGCCAGGAAAACUAAGGCCAAGGGACAACAAAUCAUUUAUUUUCAAAGAUGUCCUGCAACAUGCUCAUCUCCCUCUUCCCUCCAACUCCAUCAGGUGCUUCCUUCCCUUUUCUUCUCAAGGUUUUUGAUUUCAGGUUCAACUUUACAUACAUACACAUUAUUUUUUCCCCUUUUCAAUUUAUCAUGCUCAUACCUAGUGCUAUUCAUAUUGAAACUUCGUUCUCUUGAGUUGGACCCUGAGAGACAGACCUUGUAGGGGGAAUUUCACCCAGUGUUUGUGCGAGAUUACACAUGACACUAAUCUGAAGUUCUGGUUCAAAUUUCUAUCUUUUUUUUUUUUUUUUAAGGAGUUAUGUUGCUGAGGCUGGCCUUCAACUCCUGGGCUCAAGUGAUCUUUCUGCCUCAGCCUCCAGAGUGCCUGGGCCUACAGUAUUGGGCCACCUCAUAUGCCCCAGGAAGUCAGAGGAAGAAGAAAACUUCUCUGGGAACUGCUACACCAAAGGAGGACCAUGCUCUGCCUCUGAGGCUUAUAAGAGUGCCUGAAGAGCUCAUUCUGGCUUAGAAACAGUACAUAGUGAACCAAACUCAUCUGUCAGUGAGUAGGAGGAAGGGAGGCAAGGAGAGAAGAGAGAAUUAAAAUUGUAAACCCCAUAUCACGUGGCUUCUUCCUUGAACUUUAAUAACUCUGUGUUGCCUACAGGCUCAGAAACACCAAAUGCAAUAGUAGGUACAAGGAUUGCUCUGGUGCCAGGAAAAUGCAGUAAGACACAACUUUUACAAGGUAGGCAAUGAAUAAAUGCCCUGCAGGAACA